GUUUGAUCCUGGCUCAGGACGAACGCUGGCGGCGUGCCUAAUACAUGCAAGUCGAACGAAACUUUCUUACACCGAAUGCUUGCAUUCACCGUAAGAAGUUGAGUGGCGGACGGGUGAGUAACACGUGGGUAACCUGCCUAAAAGAAGGGGAUAACACUUGGAAACAGGUGCUAAUACCGUAUAUCUCUAAGGAUCGCAUGAUCCUUAGAUGAAAGAUGGUUUUGCUAUCGCUUUUAGAUGGACCCGCGGCGUAUUAACUAGUUGGUGGGGUAACGGCCUACCAAGGUGAUGAUACGUAGCCGAACUGAGAGGUUGAUCGGCCACAUUGGGACUGAGACACGGCCCAAACUCCUACGGGAGGCAGCAGUAGGGAAUCUUCCACAAUGGACGCAAGUCUGAUGGAGCAACGCCGCGUGAGUGAAGAAGGUCUUCGGAUCGUAAAACUCUGUUGUUAGAGAAGAACACGAGUGAGAGUAACUGUUCAUUCGAUGACGGUACCUAACCAGCAAGUCACGGCUAACUACGUGCCAGCAGCCGCGGUAAUACGUAGGUGGCAAGCGUUGUCCGGAUUUAUUGGGCGUAAAGGGAACGCAGGCGGUCUUUUAAGUCUGAUGUGAAAGCCUUCGGCUUAACCGGAGUAGUGCAUUGGAAACUGGAAGGCUUGAGUGCAGAAGAGGAGAGUGGAACUCCAUGUGUAGCGGUG
rnacentral:rRNA from 2 species